UCUGUUAUGAGGUUUUGUUUCAUUUCGUUGGAAUCAGAGUUGGGUUCGCUCGGAUCUGUUGAGAUUCCGAUGAUGAACACCGUGGGUUCAUCUUUGAUUCUGGUUUUUUAGGGGUUUUCUUUCUAAAAUUUGGGGUCCGUUCUUGUUGUGUUGGGGAAAAUAUGAUUCGGGUAACGGUUUUGAAGAAAAGGUAAGGUGGAAGAGGAGAGA
rnacentral:lncRNA from 1 species